AGACAUUUUCUUUAUUUUUCCAAUUUAUAGGCACUAGAAUACUAGAUAGGUUUUCACAGGAGAUGCCACAUGGUAGAUUGUGAUGCCUUGUUGGACAGAUACCAGAUCAUGGAACUCAAAAUGGCCUCCAGGCUUCCUAAUCAAUUAAUUGAUUCUCAAAGAAAAAGCAAAAAGAAUAUAGUGUAAAUCUCCAACCAAGAAGACAAUUAACAUAAACUCAACAUUUUAGAUUAAAGUAAAAUCAUAGAACCAAGCUGUAUGCCUUUAUCAGCUAUUGAAUUUGAAAUUAGUACCACUGCAACUUUUCCCCAAAUUUCCAUCAAUUUUCAAGCAUGAAAACUGGGAUAAGAAUCACAUUUUCUGAUGUGUAAUUAAAAACAAUUGUUACAGAGAAAAGUUAAAGACAAUAAGAAGAAAGCCUUUGCAAUUGUGAACAAGACCAAAAUGUGCAAUUAU
rnacentral:misc_RNA from 1 species